CCCGUCCCGUCCUCAAGCCCCCCGCGGGGCCAGCGGCCCGCAGUCCCUUACCUUGGCCUGGCAUUUCCGAUGACAGGAGAAGCCGCAGACUGCAAGAGGGCGAGACACAGAAAGAAAGUUUAGCCGCGAGUCCCAGACCACAGUCGGCUGCCCUGCCUCCUGGAUCUACAGUUACCCAACCCCUUUCCAACCACGAGCCAACCAGAUCCCCAGCGGAACGCAGAAGGGAGACUGAGGCACAGCUGAAGGCCCAGAGCCGCCAAAAGAGGCUCCAGGGCAGCCCACACGAAGACUUCUGGUCUUCAAGAAUAAGGCCUGGGGGCUUCCCUGGUGGCGCAGUGGUUGAGAAUCUGCCUGCCAAUGCAGGGGACACAGGUUCGAGCCCUGGUCUGGGAAGAUCCCACAUGCCGAGGAGCUACUAGGCCCAUGAGCCACAAUUGCUGAGCCUGCGCGUCUGGAGCCUGUGCUCCACAACAAGAGAGGCCGCGAUAGUGAGAGGCCCGCGCACCGCGAUGAAGAGUGGCCCCCACUUGCCGCAACUAGAGAAAACCCUCUCACAGAAACGAAGACCCAACACAGCCUUAAAUAAAUAAAAUUUAAAAAAAAAAGAAUAAGGCCUGGGCCCCUCCU